rnacentral:rRNA from 2 species
UGGUCCAGACUUUGAUCAUGGCUCAGGAUGAACGCUAGCUACAGGCUUAACACAUGCAAGUCGAGGGGAAACGACAUCGAAAGCUUGCUUUUGAUGGGCGUCGACCGGCGCACGGGUGAGUAACGCGUAUCCAACCUGCCCACCACUUGGGGAUAACCUUGCGAAAGUAAGACUAAUACCCAAUGAUAUCUCUAGAAGACAUCUGAAAGAGAUUAAAGAUUUAUCGGUGAUGGAUGGGGAUGCGUCUGAUUAGCUUGUUGGCGGGGUAACGGCCCACCAAGGCGACGAUCAGUAGGGGUUCUGAGAGGAAGGUCCCCCACAUUGGAACUGAGACACGGUCCAAACUCCUACGGGAGGCAGCAGUGAGGAAUAUUGGUCAAUGGACGAGAGUCUGAACCAGCCAAGUAGCGUGCAGGAUGACGGCCCUAUGGGUUGUAAACUGCUUUUAUAAGGGAAUAAAGUGAGUCUCGUGAGACUUUUUGCAUGUACCUUAUGAAUAAGGACCGGCUAAUUCCGUGCCAGCAGCCGCGGUAAUACGGAAGGUCCGGGCGUUAUCCGGAUUUAUUGGGUUUAAAGGGAGCGUAGGCCGGAGAUUAAGCGUGUUGUGAAAUGUAGACGCUCAACGUCUGCACUGCAGCGCGAACUGGUUUCCUUGAGUACGCACAAAGUGGGCGGAAUUCGUGGUGUAGCGGUGAAAUGCUUAGAUAUCACGAAGAACUCCGAUUGCGAAGGCAGCUCACUGGAGCGCAACUGACGCCGAAGCUCGAAAGUGCGGGUAUCGAACAGGAUUAAAUACCCUGGUAGUCCGCACGGUAAACGAUGGAUGCCCGCUGUUGGUCUGAAUAGGUCAGCGGCCAAGCGAAAGCAUUAAGCAUCCCACCUGGGGAGUACGCCGGCAACGGUGCAACUCAAAGGAAUUGAC